rnacentral:rRNA from 1 species
AACGUAGGACACAAGCGUUAUCCGGAGUUACUGGGCGUAAAGGGCGUGUAGGCGGACCUAUAAGUCUAUUCUGAAAGCUCCUGGCUAAACUGGGAGAGGCGAAUGGAGACUGUAGAUCUAGAGUGAGGAAGAGGAAAGUGGAAUUCCGCGUGUAGUGGUGAAAUGCGUAGAGAUGCGGAGGAACACCAGUGGCGAAGGGCGGCUCUCUGGGACGGUACUGACGCUGAGACGCGAAAGCGUGGGGAGCGAACAGG